rnacentral:tRNA from 1 species
GCCCAGAUGGCGGAAUUGGUAGACGCGCAGGUUUCAGGUACCUGUGCCGCGUGGUGUGGAGGUUCGAGUCCUCUUCUGGGCACCA